GGAAGGGAUAGCUCAGUGGAAGAGCACGUGCCCACCAAGCAUGAGGUCCUGGGUUCAAUCCCCAGUACCUCCA